AACGAACGCUGGCGGCGUGGAUAAGACAUGCAAGUCGAACGGGACUUUUCUUUGUAGCAAUACAAAGGAAAGUCUAGUGGCGAACGAGUGCGUAACACGUGAGCAACCUGCCGUGAAGUGGGGGAUAGCUCGCCGAAAGGCGAAUUAAUACCGCAUGUGGCCAAGAAGGACAUCCUUCUGACGCCAAAGCCGGGGCAACCUGGCGCUUCUCGAGGGGCUCGCGGCCUAUCAGCUUGUUGGUGAGGUAACGGCUCACCAAGGCUAUGACGGGUAGCUGGUCUGAGAGGACGACCAGCCACACUGGAACUGAGACACGGUCCAGACACCUACGGGUGGCAGCAGUCGAGAAUUUUUCACAAUGGGGGAAACCCUGAUGGAGCGACGCCGCGUGGAGGAUGAAGGUUUUCGGAUUGUAAACUCCUGUCAUUAGAGAACAAGGCACACGGCUUAACUGGCCGUGUGUUGAUAGUAUCUGAAGAGGAAGAGACGGCUAACUCUGUGCCAGCAGCCGCAGUAA
rnacentral:rRNA from 1 species